rnacentral:rRNA from 1 species
CCUACGAGAGGCAGCAGUGGGGAAUAUUGGGCAAUGGGCGAACGCCUGACCCAGCAACGCCGCGUGAAGGCAGAAGGCUUUCGGGUUGUAAACUUCUUUUGACAGGGAAGAGCAGAAGACGGUACCUGUCGAAUAAGCAACGGCUAACUACGUGCCAGCAGCCGCGGUAAUACGUAGGUGGCAAGCGUUGUCCGGAUUUACUGGGUGGAAAGGGCGUGUAGCCGGGCUGACAAGUCAGAUGUGAAAUCCGGGGGCUCAACCCCCGAACUGCAUUUGAAACUGUUGGUCUUGAGUAUCGGAGAGGCGAGCGGAAUUCCUAGUGUAGCGGUGAAAUGCGUAGAUAUUAGGAAGAACACCAGUGGCGAAGGCGGCCUGCUGGACGACAACUGACGGUGAGGCGCGAAAGCGUGGGGAGCAAACAGGAUUAGAUACCCCGGUAGUC